CUACACGACCGUACCGCAAACCGACACUGGUGCGCGAGAUGAGUAUUCUAAGGCGCUUGAGAGAACUCAGGAGAAGGAACUCGGCAAAUUGACACCGUAACUUCGGAAGAAGGUGUGCCCUAUUAGUGUGAAGUGAACAACGGAGCAUGAAUGGGUUGCAAAAAAUCGGUGGCUGCGACUGUUUAUUAAAAACACAGCACUCUGCAAACACGAAAGUGGACGUAUAGGGUGUGACGCCUGCCCGGUGCUGGAAGAUUAAAUGAUGGGGUGCAAGCUCUUGAUUGAAGUCCCAGUAAACGGCGGCCGUAACAAUAACGGUCCUAAGGUAGCGAAAUUCCUUGUCGGGUAAGUUCCGACCUGCACGAAUGGCGUAACGAUGGCCACACUGUCUCCUCCUGAGACUCAGCGAAGUUGAAAUGUUUGUGAUGAUGCAAUCUCCCCGCGGAAAGACGGAAAGACCCCAUGAACCUUUACUGUAGCUUUGUAUUGGACUUUGAACAGAUCUGUGUAGGAUAGGUGGGAGGCUUUGAAGCCGGGACGCUAGUUUCGGUGGAGCCAACGUUGAAAUACCACCCUGGUGUGUUUGAGGUUCUAACCUAGGUCCAUUAUCUGGAUCGGGGACAGUGCAUGGUAGGCAGUUUGACUGGGGCGGUCUCCUCCCAAAGCGUAACGGAGGAGUUCGAAGGUACGCUAGUUACGGUCGGACAUCGUGACGAUAGUGCAAUGGCAUAAGCGUGCUUAACUGCGAGACUGACAAGUCGAGCAGAUGCGAAAGCAGGACAUAGUGAUCCGGUGGUUCUGUAUGGAAGGGCCAUCGCUCAACGGAUAAAAGGUACUCUGGGGAUAACAGGCUGAUACCGCCCAAGAGUUCAUAUCGACGGCGGUGUUUGGCACCUCGAUGUCGGCUCAUCUCAUCCUGGGGCUGUAGCCGGUCCCAAGGGUAUGGCUGUUCGCCAUUUAAAGAGGUACGUGAGCUGGGUUUAAAACGUCGUGAGACAGUUUGGUCCCUAUCUUCCGUGGGCGCUGCAGAUUUGAGGAAGCCUGCUCCUAGUACGAGAGGACCGGAGUGGACACACCUCUGGUGUAUCGGUUGUCACGCCAGUGGCAUUGCCGAGUAGCUAAGUGUGGAAGAGAUAACCGCUGAAAGCAUCUAAGCGGGAAACUCGUUUCAAGAUGAGAUCUGCCGGGGCCUUGAGCCCCCUGAAGAGUCGUUCAAGACCAGGACGUUGAUAGGUCAGGUGUGGAAGC
rnacentral:rRNA from 1 species